UCACACUGCUCCAUCAGCUCUCUUUGACAGCAUCUUUUUGACUUCUUCUACCCUCAGUCAGUGGAGACAAGAUGAAGCUCGUCGCGCUGUUUCUUGUGUUGUCGCUGGUCGUCCUCAUGGCCGAACCUGGGGACGCUUUCUUUCACCUUGUCGGACACAUGAUCCAUGGCCUCAUUCACGGGAAAAACCGAGCCGAGCAGCAGCAGCAGCAGCUGGACCAGCGUGACUUCGACCGAGAG